UGGGGAAUAUUGGACUAUGGGCGAAAGCCUGAUCCAGCCAUGCCGCGUGUGUGAAGAAGGUCUUCGGAUUGUAAAGCACUUUAAGUUGGGAGGAAGGGCAUUAACCUAAUACGUUAGUGUUUUGACGUUACCGACAGAAUAAGCACCGGCUAACUCUGUGCCAGCAGCCGCGGUAAUACAGAGGGUGCAAGCGUUAAUCGGAAUUACUGGGCGUAAAGCGCGCGUAGGUGGUUUGUUAAGUUGGAUGUGAAAUCCCCGGGCUCAACCUGGGAACUGCAUUCAAAACUGACUGACUAGAGUAUGGUAGAGGGUGGUGGAAUUUCCUGUGUAGCGGUGAAAUGCGUAGAUAUAGGAAGGAACACCAGUGGCGAAGGCGACCACCUGGACUAAUACUGACACUGAGGUGCGAAAGCGUGGGGAGCAAACA
rnacentral:rRNA from 1 species